GACGAACGCUGGCGGCGUGCCUAAUACAUGCAAGUAGAACGCUGAAGGAGGAGCUUGCUUCUCUGGAUGAGUUGCGAACGGGUGAGUAACGCGUAGGUAACCUGCCUGGUAGCGGGGGAUAACUAUUGGAAACGAUAGCUAAUACCGCAUAAUAGCAGUUAUUGCAUGAUAACUGUUUGAAAGGUGCAAUUGCACCACUACCAGAUGGACCUGCGUUGUAUUAGCUAGUUGGUGGGGUAACGGCUCACCAAGGCGACGAUACAUAGCCGACCUGAGAGGGUGAUCGGCCACACUGGAACUGAGACACGGCCCAGACUCCUACGGGAGGCAGCAGUAGGGAAUCUUCGGCAAUGGACGGAAGUCUGACCGAGCAACGCCGCGUGAGUGAAGAAGGUUUUCGGAUCGUAAAGCUCUGUUGUAGAGAAGAACGAGUGUGAGAGUGGAAAGUUCACACUGUGACGGUAUCUUACCAGAAAGGGACGGCUAACUACGUG
rnacentral:rRNA from 1 species